GACUCCAUAGCUAAGUGGUUAUAGCAUGAGAUUGCAGUGGUCCCCAUGUGGGCGGGUGGCUGCGCAACAAUCUCGGGGUCGCGUGUUCGAGUCACGCUGGGGUCU